GACGUAGGGCGCGAGCGUUGUCCGGAUUUAUUGGGCGUAAAGAGCUCGUAGGCGGUGUGUCGCGUCGGCCGUGAAAACCUGCAGCUUAACUGUGGGCUUGCGGUCGAUACGGGCAUCACUGGAGUUCGGCAGGGGGAGACUGGAAUUCCUGGUGUAGCGGUGAAAUGCGCAGAUAUCAGGAGGAACACCGGUGGCGAAGGCGGGUCUCUGGGCCGAUACUGACGCUGAGGAGCGAAAGCGUGGGGAGCGAACAGG
rnacentral:rRNA from 1 species